rnacentral:rRNA from 1 species
GACGAACGCUGGCGGCGUGCUUAACACAUGCAAGUCGAACGAAGAGCGACGGAAGCUUGCUUCUAUCACUCUUAGUGGCGAACGGGUGAGUAACGCGUAAUCAACCUGCCCUUCAGAGGGGGACAACAGUUGGAAACGACUGCUAAUACCGCAUACGAUCUAAUCUCGGCAUCGAGGAUGGAUGAAAGGUGGCCUCUACAUGUAAGCUAUCACUGAAGGAGGGGAUUGCGUCUGAUUAGCUAGUUGGAGGGGUAACGGCCCACCAAGGCGAUGAUCAGUAGCCGGUCUGAGAGGAUGAACGGCCACAUUGGGACUGAGACACGGCCCAGACUCCUACGGGAGGCAGCAGUGGGGAAUCUUCCGCAAUAGACGAAAGUCUGACGGAGCAACGCCGCGUGAGUGAUGACGGCCUUCGGGUUGUAAAGCUCUGUUAAUCGGGACGAAAGGCCUUCUUGCGAAUAGUGAGAAGGAUUGACGGUACCGGAAUAGAAAGCCACGGCUAACUACGUG